UACGUAGGUGGCAAGCGUUGUCCGGAUUUACUGGGCGUAAAGAGCGCGCAGGCGGUCGUUCAAGUCGCGUGUGAAAGCCCCCGGCUCAACUGGGGAGGGUCACGCGAUACUGAUCGACUCGAAGGCAGGAGAGGGUAGUGGAAUUCCCGGUGUAGUGGUGAAAUGCGUAGAUAUCGGGAGGAACACCAGUGGCGAAGGCGACUACCUGGCCUGUUCUUG
rnacentral:rRNA from 1 species